CCUACGGGUGGCAGCAGUGGGGAAUAUUGGGCAAUGGGCGCAAGCCUGACCCAGCAACGCCGCGUGAAGGAAGAAGGCUUUCGGGUUGUAAACUUCUUUUAGGCGGGAAGAGCAGAAGACGGUACCUCUUGAAUAAGCCACGGCUAACUACGUGCCAGCAGCCGCGGUCAUACGUAGGUGGCAAGCGUUGUCCGGAUUUACUGGGUGUAAAGGGCGUGCAGCCGGGAAGACAAGUCAGAUGUGAAAUCCCGGGGCUCAACCGCGGAACUGCAUUUGAAACUGUUUUUCUUGAGUACCGGAGAGGUCAGCGGAAUGCGUUGUGUAGCGGUGAAAUGCGUAGAUAUAAGGAAGAACACCAGUGGCGAAGGCGGAUGACUGGACGGCAACUGACGGUGAGGCGCGAAAGCGUGGGGAGCAAACAGGAUUAGAUACCCGAGUAGUC
rnacentral:rRNA from 1 species